CUUGGGGGAGGGGGAUGUCCCUCAGCCCAGAUUGUGAGAGGGCACAGGUCAGGCCGAGGGACCCUACCAGUACACA
rfam:Myotis davidii contig201840, whole genome shotgun sequence.